AGACGUCGCAGCAGCCGCAGUGUUCCUUGAUGGUGCCGUGGAUGCAGUCGGACGUGUCAGGACAGGCUACGCCCUCGCAUGUCUCAGGGCACUCAUGAGCGUCGGUCCUGCAGGUCAUAAGCAAAAAGUUGCUGACCUGCGAAGAGGGGCUACCACCACCUGGUGAAAGCAUUAUCUCUGUCUUCGUUCUGCUCAUUUUCAUACCAUGUACCGCCAACUGGUGGUACCAGGUAUCCAUGGCUUGCUGUAGCUCAGCUGCUGCGUUGGUUCCCAGUGCUACGUCAUCAGCAUAAAUGACCUUCUGCCCUGGUUCCUUCUGUUUGCUGAUGUAGUCAACCAGUAUGAUGAUCAGCCUGGGCUUAAGACCGACCCUUGAUGCAAUCCGACCUUGAACUGGAAUCCUCCGUCACUCCGAAGCAGGUUCUCACUCUUGUGCUUGGCGUGCGGUACAGUGGCAUUACCAUUGUAUCAACUGUUAACCUUGUCGUGCGCCUUCUCAAAACCCGAGAAACUUUCAUGCUCAAAUUCCAGCUUUCUAUCCGUCAUCUGUCUCUCUAGGAACACCGCAUCAGUUGUCCCCAUUCCCUUCCUAAAACCCUAAAUAUCUAUAUAUGUAUCUAUCUAUUUCAAUCUUUAUCUAUCUGUCUAUCUGUCUAUCUAUAUAUUGAAGCAACAAUAUUGUAGUAAAGUUUUAACCCUCUAGGUUCAACGCCCAAGAAUGCGACGAGCGGUCGUCAAACCUAGUGGGUUAUAACUUUCCUAUGAUGUUGCUGCUUCAAUUUAAAACACAUACACGCACACACACAUGCGCGCGCGCGUGUGUGUGUGUGUGUAAUAUUUGAAUUCUAUUUCCUUAUUAAGAGCGAUAAGGGAUAUUUUGUUUACGAGUAUCGGGGAGGAAGCUUUGAUUUUUACGCGCUUCAAUCCUCGCUUUGUUUAAAAUUUAUCUUUGAGCGUGUACAUAUGAAAUAUAUAAAAUAUUCACUCGUUGUCAAUCAAGAUUCAAAAUGUUCCUUUCGUAAAGAAGAGCUACUGGGCAUUUAUGACGUAACUGUGAUCGAUUAUUUGAUGUUUAACCUAAGGCUGUGCGGCGAGCUAAAAUUGGCGCGUCGUAGUAAGGGGUUUAACAACAAUGCUAACGAUAAUAAUGAAACAGUCAUGAUACACACAACAACUACGAACUAACACCGAAAUCAUCGACUCGGCCCCC
rnacentral:misc_RNA from 1 species